rnacentral:rRNA from 1 species
AGAGUUUGAUCCUGGCUCAGAUUGAACGCUGGCGGUAUGCUUAACACAUGCAAGUCGAACGGCAGCAUAAGAGAGCUUGCUCUCUUGAUGGCGAGUGGCGGACGGGUGAGUACAACGUAGGAAUCUAUCCAUGUAGCUGGGGAUAACUUGGGGAAACUCAAGCUAAUACCGAAUACGCUCUACGGAGGAAAGAGGGGGAUCUUCGGACCUCUCACUAUUGGGUGAGCCUACGCCGGAUUAGCUUGUUGGUGGGGUAAUGGCCUACCAAGGCGACGAUCCGUAGCUGGUCUGAGAGGACGAUCAGCCACACUGGGACUGAGACACGGCCCAGACUCCUACGGGAGGCAGCAGUGGGGAAUAUUGGACAAUGGGGGCAACCCUGAUCCAGCAAUACCGCGUGUGUGAAGAAGGCCUGCGGGUUGUAAAGCACUUUCAGUAGGGAAGAAAAGUUGUCGGUUAAUAACCGGCGACCCUGACGUUACCUACAGAAGAAGCACCGGCUAACUCCGUGCCAGCAGCCGCGGUAAUAAGGGCGA